rnacentral:lncRNA from 1 species
AUGGGGAACUGCCUGCGCCCCAGCGCUGGCCUCAGUUGUACCUUCUGCGAGGCUUGUAGCCAGUCUGAGGAAUCCACCAUUCCAGAGCCUGCUGUGUUACAUCCCAGAGUGGCGGAGGUGCAGGACGUGCAGCCCGUAAAACCAAAGAGGCGCAAAGGUUUGGCUCGCCGUGUCAGGAGCUGGGUAGCCAAAAAAUGGAGACAAAAGAAAAGGUGCCCCAAUAAAAAUGAAGGUCCCGUUGAGGUCCUCCAGGACUGCGUCCAUGAAGACAUCAAGGACGAGGAGCUCCUGGCGGAGGCGUCAUGUGAGGAUCACCACCGUCCUGUUGAGGUCCUCCAGGACUGCGUCCAUGAAGACAUCGAGGACGAGGAGCCCCUGGAGUGGUCUGUGGGCUACUAUUACCAUUGUCCUAUUGUGGCCCUCCAGGAGUGCGUCCAUGAAGACAUUAAGGACGAGGAGCCCGUGGCGGAUGCGUCACGUGAGGAUCACCACCGUCCUGUUGAGGUCCUCCAGGACUGCGUCCUUGAAGACAUCGAGGACGAGGAGCCCCUGGAGUGGUCUGUGGGCUACUAUUACCAUUGUCCUGUUGAGGUCCCCCAGGACUGCAACCUUGAUGACACCGAGGACGAGGAGCUUCUGGUGAGAUGCAUUUGUUCAUCUUGA